AUCAACUUUCGAUGGUAGGAUAGAGGCCUACCAUGGUGGUAACGGGUAACGGGGUGUUAGGGCACGACACCGGAGAGGGAGCCUGAGAAACGGCUACCACAUCCAAGGAUGGCAGCAGGCGCGCAAAUUACCCAAUCCCGACACGGGGAGGUAGUGACAAUAAAUAACAAUACGGGGCUCUUUAGGGUCUCGUAAUUGGAAUGAGUACAAUUUAAAUCUCUUAACGAGGAACAAUUGGAGGGCAAGUCUGGUGCCAGCAGCCGCGGUAAUUCCAGCUCCAAUAGCGUAUAUUAAAGUUGUUGCAGUUAAAAAGCUCGUAGUUGAAUUUCGGGAUCAGCAAGUUGGUCGUGCCUCUGGUAUGCACUGGUUUCGCUGAUUCCUCCUUUCUGAAGAACUGUAAUGUCAUUAAUUUGGUGUUGCAGGGAAACAGGACUGUUACUUUGAAAAAAUUAGAGUGUUUAAAGCAAGCUAAGGCUUGAAUACAUUAGCAUGGAAUAAUGAAAUAGGACGUUUGAUCCUAUUUUGUUGGUUUCUAGGAUUGACGUAAUGAUUAAUAGGGAUAGUUGGGGGCAUUAGUAUUCAAUUGUCAGAGGUGAAAUUCUUGGAUUUAUUGAAGACUAACUACUGCGAAAGCAUUUGCCAAGGAUGUUUUCAUUAAUCAAGAACGAAAGUUAGGGGAUCGAAGACGAUCAGAUACCGUCGUAGUCUUAACCAUAAACUAUGCCGACUAGGGAUCGGAUGAUGUUAAUUUUUUAAUGACUCAUUCGGCGCCUUACGGGAAACCAAAGUGUUUGGGUUC
rnacentral:rRNA from 1 species